AUGCAUUUGUGUGCUGUCUUAUUUCAUGAAAAUGUGGAAAUAGUUUUCCAUUCUGACAAUCUGCUGCAAGUUCCUAGUUUGUGGUCGGAGAUGAUAGAAGCCCAUAUUCAUUUAAUACUCACCAAUCAGAACUUGACAGAGCUUUUGAGGUUUCUAUCACGUAGUCUUUGGGAGGAAGGUGAAGAACGUAGACUGUCUUGAUGGAAAAUGACUAUCAGUUAUGUCUUUGAUAUCCAGCUUUAUCUUUUGACACAAAUGCUUAAGCAAUAGCAAAACUAUCAGACCAGGGGAUGUUGAGAAGUAUAAAAUAUAUUCCCCCAGGGUGUCUAAAUUCUCCCCACUGAUAAAAUCAUUUAAAUAUUUCCUGUUUUUAAAAUCAAUACUUCAAUUACCUUAUGCAUGGAGUAAUUUCAAGAAUAAGGUCCAUACUGUUAACUGCAGGUGAUUUUUCUUUGAGUAAAAAAAAGAAUUAGGUUAUCCUGAGUUUGUGGGGAGAGGAGUUGAGAAGUCUCAUUUAGUGAUGCUGAGAUGGUUCAGAAGGAUAGUAGUUGCUCCAAUAUGAGGAGCAACAAUAUAAAUUAAAAAUUUAAGUGCCCAUAAUGGGAAUUUAUCACAGAAGACUCUAGUGGCCUUUAUACAGAAAACAAAAAAUCACAAUACAACAACAAAAAAAAACCCAUUUGAUCCUGUGUGAGCUCUGAUUGGUAAAAGAGGUGUUUUAGAGUAAAGCAAUUAUAUAGAGUUUAUUUCAUCCUAAUUUACAAUUUUUUCAUUACUUCCUUUCCAUCAUUUUAAAAGAUAACAAGUCAUUUACCUCUCUCUAAUCUCAUUUUUCAUUAAAGCACUACCCAAACAGGAAAACUGGUAGAUAAUAUAAUUAAAUAUUUCUUCAAACUAUGUCUCUUGUAAAGUGGGAAGCAAGUUUAUUCAGAUCAUCAGCUUAAUUUGAAAGUGGAAAGAAAAAGUGCAAAAAGUUUAGUGUGAUACAUUCAAAAGCUAUGAUUUCAUCAGAGUCUGUCUCUGAGCCAUUAUGCUUUACUCCAAUUGAUCUCUACAGAAAGGAGUAAGGAGACAGACUUCCAGAACCUACUAGAAUGGCAUUGGAUCAUUUCAUACCCUAAGUGAAUUUUACCAAAAGGCCCAGCAAUAGAGGGUCUGUCACAUCGGGCACAUGAAGUAUUUUGCAGGAUGCUGGUGUGCUAAAUGGAAGAAUGCCCCAAGUUCUAAGUGACUGGGGUAUGUUACUGCCCUUUUUAUAGCUCAAAUAUUGACAGUCGCAAGUUGAGUUGCUCUAUUUAAAAAAGAAAAAUCACUGCAUAAAUGAAAUCAAUUUAUAAAUAUUUAUAAACUUAUCUCAUUAAUCCUUUUCUGGUCUAGUGUCAUGACCAGCUGCAUAAGUCCAUGGAAUUAAAAAUAAUAAAUAAAGGAAACUCUUGAAGGAGUCUGCCUAUGGUACUAAACUUUACCAAAAGUGACGAAGCUCAUGCAGCUUUUCUGCUCAUAGUUAAGUUGCAGUGACAGUUCAAGCUUCCUGAGGCUUAGAGUGGAUGAAGUAUAUUUGACUUAUUUAAAUUUUUGAUGGUAUUCUUCAGUGUAGACAUCAUUCAUCCAUCUUUUUCACAUCUGUCACAGUAUUUCGGGUUCUUUUUUCUCACACUCAGAUGAUUGCUACCCACUUCUUACUGUCUCCUGUCUUUCUGCCUUCAGUUGGUGGAUGAUUUUAAUCCAUCCUAUACAUAGUCCUUGGAUUAAUAACUAGUAUAUGCUCAGGAUUUUUAUCAAUCUCCAAGUUUAAACAACAGAAAAAUCAUUGCUCCCCAUUUUAGUUCAGAUUUCUUUGCAGAAGUUCAAUACAUCUUUUGUGAGGUCAGUCAAGGAUUGGUCCAAACCUACCUUCUGGCUCAGGUUGGUUUUCUCACUGUUCCCUAUCUUUUGUGGAUUUCAGUGGUGUACCUUGAGAGCCUAGACUUAGAAUCAGUCCUUCUUAGUGCUUUAGGUUAUUACUCUCUGUUAGCUAGAGUUCAUCCUCUGGCCAAAAUCAAGUUGCUAUCCAGAUUCUAGCCCAGUCUUUCUCAAUCAGAGUGAUAUUGCCUUCCGGGAAACAUUUAGCAAUGUCUGGAGAAAUUUUUGUUGGUCACAGAGUAGGCACUUGCUACUGGCAUUUAGUUGACAGAAACCAGGGAUGCUGCUGAAUACCCUGUAAUACACAGGACAGCUCUCAAAAUGAAUUUUCCAGCUCAAAAUGUCGACAAUGCCAAGGUAGAGAAACUCUGUAGACCUAUUGCUAAUUUAAAUUUGUCUAAUCUCAGACCAGCUCUUUGAAUACAGUUACCUGCUGCCUCUUGAUAGGCAUUGCUUUUCCCCUCCCUUCUUUGUCUUUGUUUCUGUUUUCAGUUUGGAGUAUCUUCCAACAAAUCAGCAAGUGGUUUUAACCUAGUGAAAUUCUGCCCAUUCUUUCAAGCUCAGCUAGAUGUUAUCUACUUCAAAACAAAGACUUUCUGACUAUUCCAUUCAAUGGAGUUUAGUUUUUUUCUUGUCUGAUAUUUUUAUGGCAAAACCAACUUAUAGGGUGCUUCUGUCUAUGUCUUAUUCUCCAUUCUAGAUAUUUAAAUGUUGUGUAGCUCAAUGUAUAAUACAAAGUCAAGAAACAUGGCACCCAAGGACCUUUGACUCUGUCUGUAGAGUUUUGCCUCUUUAAACUAGCAGAAUCAUAACUUAACAUUGCCUUUUUUCUCAUCAAACAUUAUAAUAUGCUUUUUUUUUCUUACUGCUACAGUCUCUAAAAUUAUUUUAAUAACUAUAUAAUAAUCAAGUUGAUAUGUUCUAAUCUUGCUUUUAAGUUAACUGGAUUUUAUUUCUUGAUAAAAUAAGUAAUGAAACAUUGCAUAUCUUUGGUAUAUAACUUUUUUACCUUUUCAUCUGAAAUAUUCCCUUUAAACCAUUCCAAGGAAUGGUCCAAAUGGUCUGGCAUGUUUUUAUUGCUAGUGAUAUGUGAAGCAAGGUCCAAUGCUGUAAAGAGUAAUAUUGCAUAGGAACCUGGAAUGUCAGGUCCAUGAAUCAAGGCAAAUUGGAAGUGGUCAAACAAGAGAUCGCAAGAGUGAAUGUCGACAUUCUAGGAAUCAGCGAACUAAAAUGGACUGGAAUGGGUGAAUUUAACUCAGAUGACCAUUAUAUCUACUACUCACCAGAUGGUCAACACUGAAAUCAGAUUGAUUCUAUUCUUUGAAGCCAAAGAUGAAGAAGCUCUAUACAGUCAACAAAAACAAGACCAGGAGCUGACUGUGGCUCAGAUCAUGAACUCCUUAUUACCAAAUUCAGACUCAAAUUGAAGAAAGCAGGGAAAACCGCUAGACCAUUCAGGUAUGACCUAAAUCAAAACCCUUAUGAUUAUACAGUGGAAGUGAGAAAUAGAUUUAAGGGCCUAGAUCUGAUAGAUAGAGUGCCUGAUGAACUAUGGAAUGAGGUU
rnacentral:lncRNA from 1 species